rnacentral:rRNA from 1 species
CGGGUGAGUAACACGUGGGUAACCUACCUAUAAGACUGGGACAACUUCGGGAAACCGGAGCUAAUACCGGAUAAGAUAUCGAACCGCAUGGUUCGAUAGUGAAAGAUGGUUUUGCUAUCACUUAUAGAUGGACCCGCGCCGUAUUAGCUAGUUGGUGAGGUAACGGCUCACCAAGGCAACGAUACGCAGCCGACCUGAGAGGGUGAUCGGCCACACUGGAACUGAGACACGGUCCAGACUCCUACGGGAGGCAGCAGCU